CAGCAGCCGCGGUAAUACGAAGGGUGCAAGCGUUAAUCGGAAUUACUGGGCGUAAAGUGUGCGUAGGCGGUGAGUUAAGUCUGCUGUGAAAUCCCCGGGCUCAACCUGGGAAUGGCAGUGGAUACUGGCUCGCUAGAGUGUGUCAGAGGAUGGUGGAAUUCCCGGUGUAGCGGUGAAAUGCGUAGAGAUCGGGAGGAACAUCAGUGGCGAAGGCGGCCAUCUGGGACAACACUGACGCUGAGGCACGAAAGCGUGGGGAGCAAACAGGAUUAGAUACCCCAGUAGUCCCUGUCUCUUAUAC
rnacentral:rRNA from 1 species